GCAAACUUGGUCAUUUAGAGGAAGUAAAAGUCGUAACAAGGUUUCCGUAGGUGAACCUGCGGAAGGAUCAUUAUCGAGUUAGGGUCCUCCGGGGCCCGACCUCCAACCCUUUGUCUACCCGACCUCUUGUUGCUUCGGCGGGCCCGUCUCCCCUGUUAUGGGGCCGACCGCCGGAGGGUCCACACCCUCUGGCCCGCGCCCGCCGGUGGCCUCCAGAAACUCUUGUUAAAGCGUGUCUGUCUGAAUAGAAAACAUCAAUAACCAAAAAACUUUCAACAACGGAUCUCUUGGUUCUGGCAUCGAUGAAGAACGCAGC
rnacentral:misc_RNA from 1 species